GACGAACGCUGGCGGCGUGCCUAAUACAUGCAAGUCGACCUUAGUGGCGAACGGGUGAGUAACACGUGGGUAACCUGCCCAUCAGAAGGGGAUAACACUUGGAAACAGGUGCUAAUACCGCAUACUGAUGGAUGGACCCGCGGUGCAUUAGCUAGUUGGUGGGGUAAAGGCUCACCUAGGCGACGAUCCCUAGACGGUCGGAGAGGAUGAUCGGCAACACUGGGACUGAGACACGGUCCAGACUACUACGGGAGGCAGCAGUGGGGAAGAUUCCGUAAUGGGCGCAAGCCUGAUCGAGCCAUGGCGCGUGUAUGAAGAAGGCCUUCGGGUUGUAAAGUUCUGUCGGCGGAGAGGCGGUACCCACAGAGAAAGCACCGGCUAACUACGUGCCAGCAGCCGCGGUAAUUC
rnacentral:rRNA from 1 species